rnacentral:rRNA from 1 species
CCUACGGGAGGCAGCAGUGAGGAAUAUUGGUCAAUGGACGAGAGUCUGAACCAGCCAAGUAGCGUGAAGGAUGACUGCCCUAUGGGUUGUAAACUUCUUUUAUAUGGGAGUAAAAUGUUCCACGUGUGGGAUUUUGUAUGUACCAUAUGAAUAAGGAUCGGCUAACUCCGUGCCAGCAGCCGCGGUAAUACGGAGGAUCCGAGCGUUAUCCGGAUUUAUUGGGUUUAAAGGGAGCGUAGGUGGAUUGGUAAGUCAGUUGUGAAAGUUUGCGGCUCAACCGUAAAAUUGCAGUUGAAACUGGCAGUCUUGAGUACAGUAGAGGUGGGCGGAAUUCGUGGUGUAGCGGUGAAAUGCUUAGAUAUUACGAAGAACUCCGAUUGCGAAGGCAGCUUACUGGACUGCAACUGACACUGAGGCUCGAAAGUGUGGGUAUCAAACAGGAUUAGAUACCCUUGUAGUC